CGGGCUGAUGCGAAUCACUGGGAAACUGGCUUUGGCACCUCCAGAGAAUGAACUGUUUCAUAGCCUAGCUGACCAUCCAUGAAAAUGGCUGCCUGGAGAGGCAGUGAUCAGCCCAUCCCUGCAGGGUGAAGAUAAGCUUGUGCAGGCCACUGGCUAACACAGUUCAUCCCAUGCCUCCUACAUACCAAGCACUGUGCCAGGCACUUUUCACGUCUGGCAUCCUCAGAAUCCUCCAAAAGGUCGGAUUCAGACAAUCCGGUGGAGCACUCUGAAAUUUAGAGGAAGUGGUCAAAUAGAAUUUUCUGGAAUUAUGGAAAUCUUCUAUUCUGUGCAUCUAGUAUAGUAGAAUCUAGUCACAUGUGGCUUUUGAGAACUGGAAAUAUGGCUAAUGCAACAGAGAAAGUGAAUUUUUACUUUUGAUUCAUUUAAAUAUAAAUGGUCACAUAUGACAUCACUGCCAUAUUGGACAUUGCAGUUCUGGAAGAUGGCAGAUGCAGCCCUCAGAAGAAUUAUCAGCCUGAAUGUCUGGGCGGAGCAGAGCACUACCUUCCCACUCACUCUUCCCCUCCUCUCGCCCCCUCCCCUGCCUCACUUGCAUCAGAUUAUGAUGUGAGCAAAAGCAGGAAACAGCUCUUUUGAUAGGCCUGUGAGACUUGCUGUUCGUUGGAGUAGCUAGGCUGCUCUGACUCAUACAGACCCAAAUCCUGGCAACCACUUUUAUGAAGAAAUGACAAUUCAGUCUACUACUUGUCCAUUUUACAUGCCCAAGGAAUGUGAGGGGCCUCUGCUUGGAUCUAGUUUUCAACCUAGUCUAUGGCAUUGAUUAUCCUUUUAAAAGACAAAAGAGGUGACUUCACGGGCACUUAACAUCUUGGCCAUACUGACCCCAGUUGCACGCUACGUAGGAAGUUUUAGUCCAUUUAAACUGAAGUUCCAAUUUUUUUUUUAACAACUAUUUAAAAAUUGUACAUGUCCCAUACAUGACAGAGAAAGGGUUGUCUGGUUGGAUGAUUUUUGGCUUGCAAAAAGAGAACACAAAAGAAAAGCAUACGUUUUAAUACUCAAGAGACCAAAUUUUCUGCUGAAGAGGAAAUGAACUACAUAUCCAGAAGGGUCCUACCAAGAGGCCAAACAGACUGUGUUCUCUUGGGGGAGUUCUCAGUGGUGAUGAGAACACCACUUUUUUUUUUUUUUUAGUCAUUUUCAAGGUGAGAUAUUGACUUGCUGCUGGAGCAGGACAACUGGUCUCUCUUUCAUUGCUAGCAGCAGAGUAAGGGUCUUGCAAGUUUCAGGCAGCAGCAGAGAAAGGGUCUUGCAAGUUUCAGUCCAAAGCAAGAAGAGCUAGGAUUGCACCAGCUGUCUCACCUACUCUGUGCUCACCUGUUUCUGGAUGAAGCACGGUGACAUCUGUUUUAUUGUAAAGAGAACCAACUUUGGAAUCAAAUGGAACCUGUAUUAAAAUCCUGAAUCCGUCACUAGCUUGGACAAGUCACUUCACUUCUCUGAACCUUGUUUUAUUCCAGUUAAGAAUAAUAGUAAGCCAGUCCCACAGAGCUGUAGCAAGGUUAAAAUGAAUGGUUGUCUGUAGAAGCAUUUAAAAUAGGGCUUCAUACAGAGCCAGUACCUGGGGAGACUGAGGGUUUGAACCACAUAGUUCCACUCUGGCAAAUCACAGAGGGGCUGUAGGAUGGUCCUUUAAGGGGGAUGUGUUAUGGGUUAAUUGGAACAGUGCUUCUUAAACUCCAGUGUGCAUUCAUAUUGCUUAGGGGUUUUGUUUAAAUGCAGAUUCUGAGUUACUAGGAUUAUGCAAUUUGAAUGAGCUUGCAGAUAAUUUCAUGGCUGCUGGUCUCUGACAUCACCUUUGAGAAGCAAAG
rnacentral:lncRNA from 1 species